CUCCCUUGCAGAUGGACAACCCUAACUCGAAAAUUUCAUAUUACACUCUUAAUUUAACACUUCUGAACAUCACAUAAUAUACAAAAAUUCUAAAGUAUUCAGAGCUACUAAACACAAGCGGAAGCAAGAAAACACGAGUAGGUUGAACAGGUAACCUACUGGCGAAAACUGGCAGAAAUGCCGGUGACUAUGCCUCGUCUCCUACUAGAUCCAACCCGAACUCUGCAGACUGGGCAAUUUAAAACGAAGGGCCCAGGGGAAAACAUUUAAUAACGUUAGAGUGAGUGGACAAAAAUAAAAUAAUAAAUAAAAUAUUUAUGUUUCCCCAAAUUAAUUUCUAAGGAAAAAUCGAAUGCAUGCCGCAAGCGAUAAAACUUUUACCCCAUAAAAUAUCGAGCCUCUCAGACUCUAUAAUAUAUGUAUGUAUUUACACUCGUCCAUACUCCCUAUAUAAAUUCAUGGGUCUAUAUAGGGCUACUACGCUCGCGUCCAACGCUCACAUCACGCCUUAAUGCGGUGCUACACUACGCCAUCAAGGUGGACAGACGGGUGUAUAAAUAUGUGUCCAUACCCCCUAUCUGAAUUAAACACUCAAAUAGGGCUACUACGCUUACGUCCAACGCUCACGUCACACCAUAAUGCGGCUAUAUGCUACGCCAUUAAGGUGGACAGACACAUAUGGCUAGCUAGCAUUUCCUAUACAUACUCUCUCAUAAUUACAUAUUUAUAUUCACCGAAAAUCCCAUUUUCGGUAACUCUCUAAGAGAAAUAAAAGCGUCAAAAUUAAUUGACGUCAAAAACUCCAACAAAAGGAAAUGUUCAAUCAUGAACCAUAGCAUGCAUAUUAUUUAAAAUAAAAGUCCACUCACAAAUUAGGCCUAAGCCUGAUGUCGAUCUGGGGUCUCGUCUGCUCGAGCCUCCUCACGUCCUGUUCCAAAUAUAAUAUUAAUUCCAACCAAAUAAUCCAAUAUUUAAUCAAAAUAGGCAAAAAUUAACCCGAGAGCCAUAAUUACGCUCAUCAUUGCCUAACUUCGAUAUU
rnacentral:lncRNA from 1 species